UACGGAGGGUGCGAGCGUUGUCCGGAAUCACUGGGCGUAAAGGGCUCGUAGGCGGCCAACUAAGUCGGACGUGAAAUCCCUCGGCUUAACCGGGGAACUGCGUCCGAUACUGGAUGGCUUGAGUUCGGGAGAGGGAUGCGGAAUUCCAGGUGUAGCGGUGAAAUGCGUAGAUAUCUGGAGGAACACCGGUGGCGAAGGCGGCAUCCUGGACCGACACUGACGCUGAGGAGCGAAAGCCAGGGGAGCAAACGGG
rnacentral:rRNA from 1 species